rnacentral:rRNA from 1 species
AGAGUUUGAUCCUGGCUCAGAUUGAACGCUGGCGGCAUGCCUUACACAUGCAAGUCGAACGGCAGCACGGGAGCAAUCCUGGUGGCGAGUGGCGAACGGGUGAGUAAUAUAUCGGAACGUGCCCAGUCGUGGGGGAUAACGUAGAGAAAUUUACGCUAAUACCGCAUACGAUCUAAGGAUGAAAGCGGGGGACCGUAAGGCCUCGCGCGAUUGGAGCGGCUGAUAUCAGAUUAGGUUGUUGGUGAGGUAAAAGCUCACCAAGCCGACGAUCUGUAGCUGGUUUGAGAGAACGACCAGCCACACUGGGACUGAGACACGGUCCAGACUCCUACGGGAGGCAGCAGUGGGGAAUUUUGGACAAUGGGCGCAAGCCUGAUCCAGCAAUGCCGCGUGCAGGAUGAAGGCCUUCGGGUUGUAAACUGCUUUUGUACGGAACGAAACGGCGAGC